UACGUAGGGUGCGAGCGUUGUCCGGAAUUAUUGGGCGUAAAGAGCUUGUAGGCGGUUUGUCGCGUCUGCCGUGAAAAUCCGGGGCUCAACCCCGGACUUGCGGUGGGUACGGGCAGACUAGAGUGUGGUAGGGGAGACUGGAAUUCCUGGUGUAGCGGUGAAAUGCGCAGAUAUCAGGAGGAACACCAGCGGCGAAGGCGGCGCUCUGGCUCGCAACUGACGCUCAGACACGACAGCAUGGGGAGCGAACGGG
rnacentral:rRNA from 1 species